rnacentral:rRNA from 1 species
UACGUAGGGUGCGAGCGUUGAUCGGAAUUACUGGGCGUAAAGUGUGCGUAGACGGUCAUGUAAGUCGGGUGUGAAAGCCCCGGGCUCAACCUGGGAAUUGCAUUCGAGACUGCAUGGCUAGGAUGCGGAAGAGGGAAGCGGAAUUUCCGGUGUAGCGGUGAAAUGCGUAGAUAUCGGAAGGAACACCAGUAGCGAAAGCGGCUUCCUGGUCCAGCAUCGACGUUCAGGCACGAAAGCGUGGGGAGCAAACAGG